GUGAGGAAGCAGCAGGUCUACGAGGCCCGCCGCGAUGCUACCGCUAUAGCCCAAGAGCAAAUGUGAGUGACCGUCGAAUGGUCUGGGCGAUUUGUCCUUCGACAUUGGUGUGUAUUUUCAGAAGCACUGGAGGGGGUCGCGCACCCGGCUUCCGGGGCCGAGUGCUCCAGCUGACGGGCGCGGUCCGCUUCCGUGGCGUCACCGACCUACCCUACCAAGAGGUGCUGCGAAGGAUCGAACAAUCUACCACCCGGCUCGCCAUCGCGGCAGAGAGGACGGCAGCGACUCAGGAGGGCAUACUGGAGAAGGUGCGCUCCCUGGCACUAGUCGUAGCUGGCCACCUGCAACAAGAAAGGAGGAAUUAAUUUAUUGUUUAUUUUCACCUAUACAAUUUCAUUUUAGUCAUUCAUUGUUUUAUGAGUUCAAUUUAUCUUGUUUAUUUAUUGUUCUUUGAGUUUUAUAUCUUCACUUUCAUUUUAUGCACUUAUUGUUGCUUCAUUUUGAGUUUUACUGUUUAAGUUUCAUUGUUGCCUUGUAUGAGUAAUGCAAGGGGAUUUUUUGGACGAAAGGUGUAAUGCGUGCACCCAUUUUUGUAUCGUAGUAUUUUCCUCUUUCUAUUUAUACUAAUCCAGCUGCAACGCCAGCGUGCUUUCUUUUAUUUACACAUUUCGAAGACCCUGGAAUCAUUACAAGUAGUUGUCGAUUUCUGUGUAUGGGUUUUGUACUGUGAUAUUUAUAUUGCUUCACUAUGUUUUGUAGCUUACUGCACUCAUUAUGAAGCGUUACCGCAUAGUGUUUGCACUGUGAUAUGUUCAUUUCAGCACAGUGAUGCUAAGGUACAACUACAAUGUGGUCUUUUUUCAGAGCACCAAACUAGUCACUCUGCAAGUUGCAUAGUUUCACAAAUGAAAAUGGCCAUCAUUAUUGCACCACGCCGGUGAUUGGUUUCCUCUAGUUUUCGUUCCAAGUGAGCAAGAAUAAGUUUUAAGUGUAACACGUUCUGGGUGCUGUGAGAUUGCAGAGCUAAUUAUUCAUGUUGUAUGUAAUUUAUGUUUCAUCACAGCUGGCAAGUGCACUCACCUUUCUACAAUUAUGAUUCACCUGUUCUUUAGCAUCACACUGCAAUUGCUGUCGAAAAAUGAAUGCUUCUGGUCAGUGACUCAUAACACUGAGAAGGGAAUGGACAUACCUGUCAAAGUCAUACUUUCUUGCAAGGUCACUUAAAUGUAACUGCAAGUUUUAUUUGCCGUGGUGAAAACGAAUUGUGUGAUGCUCAUGUUGCAAUGUUCUCACAUGCUUUGCUACGUGUAGCAUGCUGUAUGUACAAGGUUCAUGAUGUACAGAGGUCAACACUCAUGUCUAGAACACACUUGCGAGGGCCAAAGCAGCCACCUAAGCUUAAGCCGACCACCAGGUCGAUAAAAAUCAAUGGGAACUGUACAUUUAGUCAUGCAAGCUCACAUACAGCAGAUUUUGUGCCACAUGUCGUCAUCAGAUUCGCCAGCGCAGUCCUGCAAACAUGAUUUGCGCGUUCUAGAGAUGUGUGUUGGCCUCUGUACUUGUCGUCAUAGCAUGUAAUAAAGUUGACCUUUGUA